UACGGAGGGUGCAAGCGUUAUCCGGAUUCACUGGGUUUAAAGGGUGCGUCGGAGGGCAGGUAAGUCAGUGGUGAAAUCUCCGAGCUUAACUCGGAAACUGCCGUUGAUACUAUCUGUCUUGAAUCCCGUGGAGAUGAGCGGAAUAUGUCAUGUAGCGGUGAAAUGCUUAGAUAUGACAUAGAACACCAAUUGCGAAGGCAGCUCGUUACACGAAGAUUGACUCUGAGGCACGAAAGCGUGGGGAUCAAACAGG
rnacentral:rRNA from 1 species